rnacentral:rRNA from 1 species
UACAGAGGGGGCAAGCGUUGUUCGGAAUUACUGGGCGUAAAGGGCGCGUAGGCGGCCUGUUAAGUCGGACGUGAAAUCCCUCGGCUCAACUGAGGAGCGUCGAUCGAAACUGCCGUUCUUGAGGGUUGCAGAAGAGACUGGAAUUCCCGGUGUAGCGGUGAAAUGUGUAGAGAUCGGGAGGAACACCGGUGGCGAAGGCGGGUCUCUGGGCAACUCCUGACGCUGAGGCGCGAAAGCGUGGGGAGCAAACGGG